AAAUUGAAGAGUUUGAUCAUGGCUCAGAUUGAACGCUGGCGGCAGGCCUAACACAUGCAAGUCGAGCGGAAACGAGUUAUCAGAACCUUCGGGGAACGAUAACGGCGUCGAGCGGCGGACGGGUGAGUAAUGCCUAGGAAAUUGCCCUGAUGUGGGGGAUAACCAUUGGAAACGAUGGCUAAUACCGCAUGAUGCCUACGGGCCAAAGAGGGGGACCUUCGGGCCUCUCGCGUCAGGAUAUGCCUAGGUGGGAUUAGCUAGUUGGUGAGGUAAUGGCUCACCAAGGCGACGAUCCCUAGCUGGUCUGAGAGGAUGAUCAGCCACACUGGAACUGAGACACGGUCCAGACUCCUACGGGAGGCAGCAGUGGGGAAUAUUGCACAAUGGGCGCAAGCCUGAUGCAGCCAUGCCGCGUGUGUGAAGAAGGCCUUCGGGUUGUAAAGCACUUUCAGUCGUGAGGAAGGUAGUGUAGUUAAUAGCUGCAUUAUUUGACGUUAGCGACAGAAGAAGCACCGGCUAACUCCGUGCCAGCAGCCGCGGUAAUACGGAGGGUGCGAGCGUUAAUCGGAAUUACUGGGCGUAAAGCGCAUGCAGGUGGUUUGUUAAGUCAGAUGUGAAAGCCCGGGGCUCAACCUCGGAAUUGCAUUUGAAACUGGCAGACUAGAGUACUGUAGAGGGGGUAGAAUUUCAGGUGUAGCGGUGAAAUGCGUAGAGAUCUGAAGGAAUACCGGUGGCGAAGGCGGCCCCCUGGACAGAUACUGACACUCAGAUGCGAAAGCGUGGGGAGCAAACAGGAUUAGAUACCCUGGUAGUCCACGCCGUAAACGAUGUCUACUUGGAGGUUGUGGCCUUGAGUCGUGGCUUUCGGAGCUAACGCGUUAAGUAGACCGCCUGGGGAGUACGGUCGCAAGAUUAAAACUCAAAUGAAUUGACGGGGGCCCGCACAAGCGGUGGAGCAUGUGGUUUAAUUCGAUGCAACGCGAAGAACCUUACCUACUCUUGACAUCCAGAGAACUUUCCAGAGAUGGAUUGGUGCCUUCGGGAACUCUGAGACAGGUGCUGCAUGGCUGUCGUCAGCUCGUGUUGUGAAAUGUUGGGUUAAGUCCCGCAACGAGCGCAACCCUUAUCCUUGUUUGCCAGCGAGUAAUGUCGGGAACUCCAGGGAGACUGCCGGUGAUAAACCGGAGGAAGGUGGGGACGACGUCAAGUCAUCAUGGCCCUUACGAGUAGGGCUACACACGUGCUACAAUGGCGCAUACAGAGGGCAGCCAACUUGCGAAAGUGAGCGAAUCCCAAAAAGUGCGUCGUAGUCCGGAUUGGAGUCUGCAACUCGACUCCAUGAAGUCGGAAUCGCUAGUAAUCGUGGAUCAGAAUGCCACGGUGAAUACGUUCCCGGGCCUUGUACACACCGCCCGUCACACCAUGGGAGUGGGCUGCAAAAGAAGUAGGUAGUUUAACCUUCGGGGGGACGCUUACCACUUUGUGGUUCAUGACUGGGGUGAAGUCGUAACAAGGUAGCGCUAGGGGAACCUGGCGCUGGAUCACCUCCUUA
rnacentral:rRNA from 1 species